GACGAACGCUGGCGGCGUGCUUAACACAUGCAAGUCGAACGGAAAGGCCCUGCGUUUGUUGGGUUCUCGAUUGGCGAGCGGGUGAGUGACACGUGAGGAACCUGCCCUUGACUUUGUGGUAACUUCUGGGAACUGGGGCGAAUACCCGAGAUGAGCUCCUGCUGCAUGUGGUGGGUUGGUAAGUUUCGGCGGUUGUGGCUGGACUGGCUGGUUAUGCGCUUGUUUGUGUGGUAGUGGCUUUCCAGGGGUUUGACGGGUAGCCUGCAUGAGAGCGUUGCCGGCCACAUUGGGACUGAGAUACGGACCAGAAUCCUAUGGGAGGCAGCAGUGGGGAAUAUUGCACAAUGGGCGCAAGCCUGAUGUAGAAACGCCGCGUGCGGGAUGCUGGCUUUCGGGUUGUAAACCGCUUUCGACUGUGACGAAGAGUGAGUGACGGUAAUGGGUAAAGAAGCACCGGCUAACUACGUG
rnacentral:rRNA from 1 species